GACGAACGCUGGCGGCGUGCUUAACACAUGCAGGUCGAACGGAAAGGCCCUGCUUGCAGGGUACUCGAGUGGCGAACGGGUGAGUAACACGUGGGUGAUCUGCCCUGCACUUCGGGAUAAGCUUGGGAAACUGGGUCUAAUACCGGAUAGGACCGCACUUUAGUGUGUGUGGUGGAAAGUUUUUUCGGUGUAGGAUGAGCUCGCGGCCUAUCAGCUUGUUGGUGGGGUAAUGGCCUACCAAGGCGGCGACGGGUAGCCGGCCUGAGAGGGUGUACGGCCACAUUGGGACUGAGAUACGGCCCAGACGCCUACGGGAGGCAGCAGUGGGGAAUAUUGCACAAUGGGCGCAAGCCUGAUGCAGCGACGCCGCGUGGGGGAUGAAGGCCUUCGGGUUGUAAACUCCUUUCGCUAGGGACGAAGCUUUUUGUGACGGUACCUAGAUAAGAAGCACCGGCUAACUACGUG
rnacentral:rRNA from 1 species